AUACCUUGUUGAGUCUGAAUCUC
rnacentral:piRNA from 1 species